rnacentral:rRNA from 1 species
GUAAGGAAUAUUGGGCAAUGGACGCAAGUCUGACCCAGCCAUGCCGCGUGCAGGAUGAAAGCCCUAUGGGUUGUAAACUGCUUUUAUACGGGAAAAAACUUCCGAUCGUGUAUCGGAACUGAUGGUACCGUAAGAAUAAGGAUCGGCUAACUCCGUGCCAGCAGCCGCGGUAAUACGGAGGAUCCAAGCGUUAUCCGGAUUUAUUGGGUUUAAAGGGUGCGUAGGCGGAAUUGUAAGUCAGUGGUGAAAUCCUACAGCUUAACUGUAGAACGGCCAUUGAUACUGCAGAUCUUGAGUAUAUUUGAAGUGGGCGGAAUGUGUCAUGUAGCGGUGAAAUGCUUAGAUAUGACACAGAACACCGAUUGCGAAGGCAGCUCACUAAACUAUAACUGACGCUGAGGCACGAAAGCGUGGGGAGCAAACAGGAUUAGAAACCCUAGUAGUCC